CUGCUGCCAUUUUAUCCCCACCCCUGCUGUCAUGUUAUUUUCUUUGAUAAUCGCAGGCAGAGAAUAAUUAAAUCCUCCACCCGGGUACCCAGAACUGCUUUAGCACCCCUUUCACAACUGUCAUUCGGUGCAUGUGUGAGCUGUGUCACCCACAUGGCUGCCCCUGCUGCCAUGGCACCCUGUACGGCCGCACACCUCGCACACCCCUAAGGCUAGCCCAUAAUUUGUGAUGCUAGCCCAUCGUUUGUG